rnacentral:lncRNA from 1 species
ACUGACUGUCUUUUUGGACUCAGCCCACUUGCAUCCGAGUGAAUAAACAGCCUUGCUGCUUACACAAAGCCUGUUUAGGUGGUCUUCUAUAUGGACACGCAUGACAAUAUUUACAACAAAUACCAAGGAAGAGCUAAGAGCACAUAGCAUUUCCCAGGCUUAUUAGACUGUGGGAUCAACCUCUUUAAGAAAGCAUUUUGCAGAAUUGUUGUUCACAGGUCAUUCUGCAGUGUGAAGUUUUUUUUGCAAUAAGAUCCUUACUCUAGAGUUAACUUCACUAGGAAGUACACUCUGGGUGUUUACCUUUAGAGCUUCAGUUUCUACAAGAAUUUGGCACCGGUUGGGUCUUGUAGAAAUAUUUACUGCAUGGAGUUGAAAGAAGAGUCUGGACUGGGAGAAGGAUGUAUGGAUAAAGAACAAGAUGCCAGUGUUCUGGGGUAGGUGGAGCAGGUGUUGCUGUCCACAUACCUGAGCCUCAGAACUUCUUCCGGGAUUAUGUGACUCAUAAAUCCAGCAACAAGAACUGACUUUUCCUGGCUGUCAUUUCAGGGUUCUUUUCAGAAAACCAAGCAGCUACUGGAUACUGACCUUAUUCUAAAGGCCAACAGAAGUGGAAUAAGGUGCAAUUUGGAAUUCAAUCAAUAUUGAAGGAUGACGGUGACCUUUGGGAAAUAGGAUUCAGCGAUGUCUUUUUAAAUUCUGUUAUUUGUACAUAACGCACUCUUACAGAUUUUUUAAAAAAUCCAAUUCCACAUGAAAAACUUUUACACUGAAUUUAUUACAUUUUUAAAAAUACAUAAACUCAGACUUUAUUUUUUAUUUUUUCUUAUUUCCCUUGCUGCUGCCUAUAGGAUCUUGCACACUUGUGGCCAGUCACUCUAAAAGCAGCAAGCAUGUCUCAUGGGACUACAAACAGAGAGGCAUGCAUUUGUAUUUUUGUGGUCCUAGGACAUGGGACCAGUGCUCAUGCUGUAGGGGUUUGUGCCCAGGGAGGCUUGAGGAUGCCUGAGAAAAAGUGAUUGGGUGUCUAAACUCCAUGGCAAAAUGUCGCUUCCUAAAUAUGCCAUCUGAGUCCUUGAGAGUUGUAAUUACUCAUGGUGGCAUUCUAGCCCUGUCCUCUUUCAGCCUUAAUAAAAAAAUCAACCAACAAGUAGUGAACAUGAGACCUAAAAUGUGCUCCUUUGCGUUGAUUAUUUCUUGGCAAAUCAUGUUUUAGAAGCUCAUUAGCAGUAUGUUUUAUCAAAGAAAUAAAAGAGUUUCACACUUUCUUUUCUCUCAAUUAUCCUGUGAUAUUUCUAUUUCCUUUUGCUGAUAUCUCAGUGAGUAAAUUUACUCCUGGACAUUAUUUUAACUCAUUUUGAUGCAAACUGACUGAGGGAUAAGUAAUUGUGAAUUACUGAGGUCAAGCAGGAGGUUAUGCAUAUCGCUUUUAAAUGUUACUGACACAUCUACCAUUUUCUUAUGAGAAGUUUAUUGUUGGACCAUGUUUUCUUAGUACUUUUAAUUAAUUUACCAAUUCAAUGUAAGGGUCUUGGGGAGAAAUAUGAAAUAUCCUUCUUAAGAAGUAAAUUUUUGAUUCUUUCCUUUAUAAAGUUCUCAGAAAACAUUGCUCUUUAUAAAUGUUGGCAAGGGGCUAUACACUAGGUUCUUGAAUUUGAACAUUAAGAAAAU